rnacentral:lncRNA from 1 species
AUUUUUUCGAGUGCAUACUUGAUGACUUGUCAAUAUAACAUAUUAUGAUAUGUUGAUUUAAAUCCAAACGUUAAUACUAUUAAAACAUGUACAUGUUAAUUAUGCAUGCAUGCAAUAGAGGGAUGUAAACUAAUGAAGAAAAAUUAUAAGCCAACCGCUAAUACAUACAAUUAAGAUUCAAUUAAUCCACCUAUAACAUAUUUUACCCUUUGCCAAUUGCCAUUAACACAAAACUAAUUAAUCCCUUUACCCAUAAGCUUUAAUUUGGGAGAUAAAUUUUGAUUUUCAAUUUCUAAUUUUGGGUAAAAGGGUAGAAAUUAUUUAGAUGGGUAAUACCGGAAGUAAUGGUCUGAAUGGCCGGAGAAGAACUUACAGCCACCGGCGGAGCCACCCGCCACAACCGGAGAUCACCGGUAACAGCUACGUAUUUGCCGCAGCAACGCCACCAUAUUCUUAUCAGCAAAAUCCUAAUACUACACCGUAUUAUCAGUACCCAGGUUAUUAUCCGCCGCCGUAUGAACAGCAUUCCCACCACCAUAUGAACCCUAAUUAUGCAAAUUGGGUUAAUGGAGGUUACCCGUGUGGACCACCCAUUAUACCUCCUACGCCUGCACCCUAUGUGGAGGCAGUGGAGCAUCAAAAAGCAGUGACGAUACGUAAUGAUGUGAAUCUGAAGAAGGAGACUCUAAAGAUAGAGGCAGAUGAGGCUAACCCUGGAAAAUACCUCGUCGCUUUCGAUUUCGAUGCCACCAUACCUGGAAGGUAAACAUUAUCCUUCCUCUUUUUUCACCUGAUGUUCGAUACCUGUAUUGGGUCCGAUUCACAAAUUAAGGGUAAGGUGCUCACUAAUAAAGAAGCUGAAAUGUAGUACUUACUGCUUCACCACAACCAUUAUUGGUUGUUAAAUGUAUGUAAAUUUGUAUAUAUUGUCCACGAGGUAGUGGUAAAGUAUGUCUGCCCAGAGGCGGACCCACCUUUGUCAGAGGAGGUGCACGUGCACCCGUUAACUUUGGAAAAAAUCAUGUGUAUAUAUGUAUAUCUAUUUUGGUAGAAACUAGGAUAUUAUUAACAGUGCAUCCAUGAGUAGCAUAUGAGUGUUCUUGUGCCGCGGAUACAAGGCAGAAGAACCACCCGCGAGACCAGGGUUCGAAUCCAGCUGGGUUCGCCUCUGUGUCUACCCUCUACCCUCCUCAGAUCCCACUUGUGGGAUUGCAUGGGUAUGUUGUUGUCCAUGCCAUUGAAACAAGGAGAAAAAUUGUUUCCUAAUUCUACCUUUUCCAAAAAUUAAAAACUACUGUAAUAAAAAGAAUCAGCUUGAUCAUAAAAUAGAGAUUUUGUGUAGUUAAUAUGAUGAAGAAUGAUUUUCUUGAAAAAUAUUUUAUGAAGAAAAUGUUUUUCAGUAUUUGGUUAUGUUGUUGAGUGUUGUCACACUUUGUGCGUGAGAUCCAAGAGCAUAGGGGAUAGUCUCGUCUUCUUAUCUUCUCCUAAUUAUUUAGUAGUAGUAUUUACUAUUCACAUAGUAUCUUGUUCUUCAUUUUUACUACCACUUGUUGCUUGUUUAUCUCGCUAUUUUGUGGUUGUUAUUUUCUUUUCAAUCCUGCUUUGAUUACACUUAUGUUGUGCCGAGUGUCUAUCAAAAACAACCUCUCUAUACCUUGCAAACCGCUCCUCAGACUCCACUUGUGGGAAUACACUUUGGUAUGUUGUUGUUGAAUUUUGGGAACUGAGAGAAACGGACGCUUAAGAAAGUUUAUAAGACGACAAAGACAGAAGCUAAGUUAGCAGUUACGAAGGCUAAAACGGCAGCUUUCGAACGCUUGUAUGUCGAGCUGGGGGACAAAGGUGGGGAGAAGAAAUUGUAUAGGCUCGCAAAAGCAAGAGAGAGGAAGGCUCGCGACUUGGACCAGGUGAAGUGUAUCAAGGAUGAGGAAGGCAAAGUAUUGGUGGAUGAGACCUCCAUCAAGCAAAGAUGGCGAAGAUACUUUCACAAACUUUUAAAUGAAAAAGGGGGCGGAGACAUUGUGUUGGGUGAUUUGGAGCACUUUGAAAGUCUUCGGGACUUUGGGUACUGCAGGUGUUUUAGGAUCGAGGAGGUUAUACGUGCUAUUAGUAGGAUGAGUAGGGGAAGAGCGACCGGACCCGAUGAGAUUCCGGUGGAUUUUUGGAAGAGCACGGACAAGGCGGGUAUAGAGUGGUUGACUGGGCUGUUUAAUGUUAUUUUUAAGACAGCAAAGAUGCCUGAUGAAUGGAGGUGGAGUACAAUGGUUCCGUUGUAUAAAAACAAGGGUGAUAUCCAGAACUGUAACAACUACAGGGGUAUCAAAUUGCUAAGCCAUAGUAUGAAGAUUUGGGAGAGAGUGGUGGAGAUGAGGGUGAGAAAAAAGGUGUCCAUUUCUAAGAAUCAGUUUGGAUUCAUGCCGGGACGGUCGACUACCGAAGCCAUUCAUCUUAUGCGAAGACUGGUAGAAAAAUAUAGAGAAAGGAAGAGAGACAUACAUAUGGUGUUCAUUGACCUUGAAAAGGCCUAUGACAAAGUACCGAGGAAUGUCCUCUGGAGGUGCUUGGAGGCUAAAGGUGUCCCGAUGAUUUAUAUUAGGGCGAUAAAGGACAUGUACGGUGGAGCCAAGACUCGGGUUAGAACGGUUGGAGGUAACUCGGAACAUUUCCCAGUUGAGAUGGGGUUGCACCAAGGAUCAGUCCUUAGCCCUUUUCUAUUUGCUUUGGUGAUGGACGAAUUGACGCAGUAUAUUCAGGAGAGGGUCCCAUGGUGUAUGUUAUUUACGGAUGACAUAGUACUGAUUGAUGAGACGCGGGACAGAGUUAAUGCGAGGCUGGAGGUGUAGAGACAAACGCUGGAGUCCAAAGGAUUCAGGUUGAGUAGGACCAAAACGGAAUAUUUGGGGUGCAAAUUCAGUGAUGCGUUGGAUGAGGCAGAUGUAGAAGUGAGACUUGCCACACAGAGCAUCCCCAAGAAAGAAAGUUUUAAGUAUCUUGGGUCUGUAAUACAAGGAAGUGGUGACAUCGAUGAUGAUGUCACACAUCGCAUUGGGGUUGCGUGGAUGAAAUGGAGGCUUGCCUCUGGAGUCUUGUGUGAUAAGAAAAUUCCACCUAGACUUAAAGGUAAGUUCUACAGAGUGGUAGUUAGACCGGCCUUGUUGUAUGGAGCGGAGUGUUGGCCAGUCAAGAACUCUCAUGUUCAGAAAAUGCAGGUUGCGGAGAUGAGGAUGUUGAGAUGGAUGUGUGGGCNNNNNNNNNNNNNNNNNNNNNNNNNNNNNNNNNNNNNNNNNNNNNNNNNNNNNNNNNNNNNNNNNNNNNNNNNNNNNNNNNNNNNNNNNNNNNNNNNNNNNNNNNNNNNNNNNNNNNNNNNNNNNNNNNNNNNNNNNNNNNNNNNNNNNNNNNNNNNNNNNNNNNNNNNNNNNNNNNNNNNNNNNNNNNNNNNNNNNNNNNNNNNNNNNNNNGUUGUCUUCCCUUGCGAGGGUUUGGGUUGUUACUGUCUGUGAUACCUAUAGCCUUUUGUUGUUUACUGCGUUUCACUUAUCGCAUUGUUUUAUGGAUGUUACUGUCUCCUUUGUUGAUUAUAUACUAUCUUUCUUAUUGGAUGUUAUGUUUUAUACACUGUUUUCCUCGCCUUUUACUUGAAUUUGAUGUACUUGAGCUGAGGGUCUCUCGGAAACAGCCUCUCUACCUCUACGAGGUAGUGGCAAGGUCUGCGUACACUCUACCCUCCCCAGACCCCACCUAGUGGGAUUUCACUGGGUAUGUUGUUGUUGUUGUUGUUGUUGUUGAUUGUUUUUCUCAUGUCCCCUACUAUUAGCUCAUGGAGUUUUCAAUACGAUGAAUUCCCUUUUUAGUUUCUUUUUUCUUGUAUAGUUUUUCUCGUUUAAAUAGUGUAUAAGACCUAGCUAAGUUUGUUAAAUAAACUGCUGUUCCUUCUUGACAUGCAUUUAAGUUUGUUCAACAUGUAUUAUCUUGUAAUUCAGAACUCAGAAACUAAAAAUUUUGGCUCCGCCUCUGCCUGCACGAUGUUGUCAACUCUGAGAUAGUAAAAAUACUUUUUUGUUUUUUUGCUCAAUUGCAGCUUGACUGUCAUUUUCUUUGCAAAAGAAGGUGAAGAUUGUUGCUUGACUCCUAUGAAGGAAAGUUUGCUUCCACCAAUAACCAUUAAAUUUCAAAAAGGUUUAUCUCAGAAAUUUAGGCAAUCCUCUGGAAUUGGCAUUGAUCUUUCAAUGUUUGAAGAGGCAGAAUGGUCGAAAGAUGGUAAUGCAGAUGUAUAUCAGCUGGCGGUGAAGGCAGAGGCAUUCGAAGAUGCCCAAAGUGAACCAGAGGAUGGAAAUGCAGUGUCUGUGUCCACAAAUUCCCAGAUUACUCAAGCAGUUUUCGAAAAGGACAAAGGCGAAUUCAAAAUUAGGGUGGUGAAGCAAAUCCUCUGGGUCAAUGGCAUGAGGUAUGAAUUGCAAGAGAUUUAUGGCAUUGGGAAUUCAGUUGAUAAAGACUUUGAUGGAAAUGAUAAUGGGAAGGAAUGUGUCGUAUGUCUUUCUGAACCUCGGGACACUACUGUACUUCCAUGCCGCCACAUGGUAUGGAUUUUACUGUUCUUAACUCUUUUUUGUAGUCGAAUCUUAACACUGUUCUUCAUCAAAAUGUUAUCUUGAAUGCACUGUUAUAAUGUGACCUAUACCUGUCAAUAACCAUUCCUCCCAUCCCCUAAAAUCCCAACUUAUCUUCGUUUCCCCUUGUUACUCAUGUUUUUACAGCUUCAUAUGAAACUAUAGCAUGCAUAUCUAACACGUCAAGUAGGGCCUAAGGGUUCAUCUACAUUGUUAAAACUAUUUUUAAUCUAUAUCUAAUAGAUGUUAUUCUUCAUGUGUUUACUUUCAAUAUUUCGAACCCCUCAUGAAAAUCCUAGCUCCACCAUUGAUCUAACAAUUGAUUGCCUAUUUUGGUCGACAUUCCAAGAUCUGCUUAUUUUAAAAUGUAUUUUUUGUUCAAAGCACUUUUCCUGAAGGUACUUUUGGCGAGUAGCAAUGUGUGUUUGGCUAGCCAAUUUGGAAAGUACUUCUUUUAGCUUCUGAAAAAAACAGUUUCUACUGCUACUCAAAAGGGCUUGUUUUCUUGGCGAAACACCUCAGUAAUGUGCAUCAGAUUCAUUGCUUUGCCUUUAUUGAAAUUUAUUGAAUGUAGAGGUCAUAUAUGGAAUGCCUGUUGCUUUGUUUUUCUUGUUUAAAUUGAUUGUGAUGUAACACUAUUGAUGGAUAUUAAAACUAAAUAAUGUGCAUCUUAAAUCCAGUGCAUGUGCAGUGGAUGUGCAAAAGUUUUGAGGUUCCAGACAAAUCGUUGUCCUAUUUGUCGUCAGCCAGUUGAGCGAUUCUUGGAGAUUAAGGUCAGCGAAGCUGCUGAAGAAUAAGAGUCGCGAUAACCACCAUUGCAUAAACACAGGGGAGAAUCUAGCAGCCUGAAUACAGGUUUGGCUGAACCUAGUAACUUUUGCUCUACACUACAGAAACCCAUACAGUUGAAAAUCGUGGCUCCGCCUCUGUAUAAACUUAUUCCUUUUUUCCUCGGUAUCCAGUGACUGAAAAAUGGAGUUUCCAACCAGUAGGUCAAGAAAUGCAGUAAGUUCAUCGAUUUUGUAUUUUACGCCCUUAUUAGUACUCUCCCUCCGUUCCACUUUGAUUUUGUAUUUUACACCCUUAUUAGUACUCUCCCUCCGUUCCACUUUGUUUUUAUAGCCGUACAAAUGUUAUAUGACAUGUUUAACUCCAGGUCAAACAAAGUGAAACGGAGGAAGUAUAUCUUCUUUGCAACCUUUUUGGAUGAUUAUUUUAACAUUUAUUUUUCUUUUUCCAGGGGAAAGACCAAUACAUGAAGUUAAAUACUGUAUAUCUCGUCAUACAUUGGAUGUUCAGAAAAUAAAUGAGCAUCACCAGAUUUUUCAUUAUGUGUAUUAACACAAUCUGAAAUUGUUACCACAAAUAGGUAGAUGACAAUUUGCUGAUUUUGAACUGUACUAAAUUAAACAAAACAACAAAUAACCACAAUUUGUUCUGUUUACAGAGUUCUGAAUAAAAUAUUUGUACAUAUUAAAUGAAUUUUUAAACUUGAAUAGAGCCAAAUUAAAGCUACUUGAUUCUACCGAACUCGUAACUCCACCCUUCUUUUCAAUCUAACUGGGCUUAUAUCGCAGAAGCUACAUAGUUUGUAUGUUUGGAGACUGAAAAGCUACAUAGUGGAUAUGUUUGGACUCAAGUGCAGCACAUCAUAGUAGUUAUGGAAAAAUGAAAUAUGACAGUGAAGAAAACAUGACAACUAAUAAGAAAAACAAUACAACGCAUUUAGAAAAAAGAACAAUAACAACGAAAUAACACAGUAGCCAAAACACAUUACACAGAUAUCACAACUCCAGGUGAAAUCUUCACCUUCCAAUAUCACCCUAAAUCUUGUUCUUUGCAGGUUAUGCAAAGUUUUAGCAAGAAUCCAUCCAAAUUUCCACAAUCCAAGUGAUAAUGAACACCACCAUAACGACAACGCCGAACUUUCUAAAAGCCAACUCUGCACAGAAGUUGUGUGUCGAGGAAAAAGGAAAUCUAAACUAUCAUCAGAAAGUACGGUACAUUUUGAUCAUAGUUGCCUCACCUAACCAACAGGCAAAAGAAAAAUUCGAUGACAAAGAGCUCUAAAUAAAUAGGUCACCCGCCCGCGUAAUGUUUCGUACGAUGAGUUAAUCCGAUAUAAGUCAUUGUCAACCAACAGUUUCUUAGCAAAAUUGGCUGAAAAGAAAGGGGAGAAAUAGUCAAAGGGAGGGAUGAGGUUGGGAAAUAGGAAUUACAUAUCUCAAGAGACCAACCUCAAAUUAUUUUUGCCUAUCAUACUUACAAGCUGCUUCGACACUCUUCUAACCUCCUGAUGUUCCCGGCAGCAUCUUCAUUGUUCGCUAUACAAUUAGUUGGUCAAUCUCAGUGCAAGCAAAUCUGAAGACAAAUAAAUGGUUGCUAACAUUUGUAGAAGGAGCUCCAUUUAGUGCAUCCGCCGUUCUGCAACCUCCUCCCCAAACACACACAAUGUGAUUACGGUUAGGUCAUUGCUUGUAACUUGGAACUGACAACCUUUCCUGAUAUUGGUGGCUUCUCCUUCAAACUAGUACUUAGUAAAGACUCUGAAUUGCUAGUUUGGGUUUCACCAAACUCUGGUCUCACCCAAACCUUUAUAUGCCCCUCACGGCAGAUAGUAAGAACUGAUGCAUGAGUAAACAUCACGCCAGAGAGUGGUUCAGUGUGAACACGAUGAGUGACCAGGGGCGAUAGCUUUGGAACAUCUCGCAUGCUUGGAGCAGGUUGCAGUGUUCCAACAGGGCAAGCCCUAUCCCAAUGAGAUGACUGACUCCCCGUGCUGUAAGUUGGUGAUCCACCAUGAGGACGGCGCAUUGGUACUACAAUUUCAUCCAUUUCCAGAUCCCAUAAGAGCAAUUGUGUGUCCUACAAAAAAGUAUCAAGUCAAAAACAGCUAGAAAGGAGAUUGUCAAGCAGAUUCACCUCGAAACAGAUCAAUCUUUGAAAGUCAUAUUAUGAGCAAGGCGAGGAAAAUAUUAUGGAACACAGAAACGUUUUAUCUUGAAUGAGCAAAUAAAAGACCAAGUAAAAUAGUGAGAUGUAAACUCAUAAUAUGAGCCAUUUAUUUUGAACAUGUACCUGACCAACAGAACCAAAACGGUAGACCACAUUUUCAUCUGUGCCAUCUGAAUUUGGUGCUGACCAAUAUGAAUCAAAUGCCACACCACUGACCUGCCAGACACAAGUUAAGAUAAUAAGGCAUGAAUGCUGCAUAGAAACCAAGGUAAGUUACAACCGCUCGAAACUCACCCAGGAGUUAUGCCCCUCGCCCCAGGCAACAACUUUACGUUCUUCCAUGCUCCAAACCUGAACUAGGUCAUCUUCUCCACCAGCUAAAAUGUACUUUCCAUCCAUGCUGUUGGUUCAUGUACAAUCAGUAUAGAUACUCUUUCUAGCCAAAACAUUAAAAACAACAUGCAUUUGUUUGUGUGUGGGCAUCUGUGGGAGUGGGCAAAGGAAGGUGGGAGGGGAAUGUGUGCUAUACGGCAAGGUCCACAAGGCAUAAGUGACUUCAAGUUACAUAUGCGUCAUGCACAAAAAAACCAUAAACACUCACCUCCAAGCACAACAUAACAGAGCACCAUAAUAGCUUUUUCCACCACAUAUAAGCUGUUCAUUUUUGUAGUCAAAUAUACGCAGAUAACCUGCAUUAGAUCAGUCAUAUUCAGUAAGGGUAAAUCAUCACAACAAAAGAAUUAAUAGCUUCACAAGUCAUCUCAUGAAGAAAAUACCAUCCCUCCCUACAGUUGCAAUAUAUGCCCCAUCAGUUGAGAAAGCAAUGCUAUUGAUGGACCCUUGGCAAAUAUGCCAUCUAGCUACAGGAUUCUGCAUAUAAAAGCCAAAUGGAAAUAUGUGAGAGGAAGAACUUAAAACUGCAGUUCUUAGAUUUGAGAUCUAGACAGACAUAUAUGUUUAAGUCUUACCACAAUCAAUUAGGAGAUACUAAAUAAAAUGCCACAAUGACUGGCUAAACUAACCAGCACAUUUAUCUAAUUUUGGUAGGGCAGAAGCAGACUAAAUGUUUUUAUUCCAGACAAGAUAAACAUAGAAUGUGCUUGUCAACAUAUAAUGGAAAAAACUGGUCCAGUGUUUAGGAAGAUGAAACUGGAACUUUGUUUAUGUUUUACUGCGCAAUAAACUUGCUUCUUUAGGGAUUAUUUGGUUUGCAAACAGGUUAUGUAGGGAUUAUUUAGCUGUGAAUAAUAACGUGGGGAUUGCUAUGCACCGAAUAAUAUUGCAAGAACUGUCAUGUGGUAAGAAAUAAUGUAGGCAUUGCUAUGCCAGGUCAGGGAUUGCCUCUUUAUGAGCAUUUUUGUCUUAUCUAUGUUUUGCUAAUACACUUGGGAGUCGUUUGGUGUGAGGUAUGAGAUAUAAUAAUCCCAGAAUAAAAUGUUGGAUUAUUUUAUCCCACGUUUGGUUGGAGGUAUUAGGUAGUCCAUGGAUUAUUUAUACCACCAUUUUUGCUAUAGUGAUGGGAUAAUUAUCCCAUGUACAUGGUGGAAUAACUUAUCCCGGAAUUAAUUAUACCGGGAUAACUUGGUCCCAACAAAACGACCCCUUACUCUUAUUCUGCAUCCUCCAUGUAAAAUAAUACUCCCUCCGUUUCAAAAAGAGUGGCCUAGUUUGACUUGGCAUCGAGUUUAAGAAAAUAAAGAAGACUUUUGAAUCUUGUGGUCCUAAAUUAAAGUUACGUCAAAUGUACAAAAUUGCCCUUUAAUCUUAUGGCCUUAAACAUGCCACAUGGAAAGCUGAAAUUAAAAUGUUACCAAAAAGGGAAAGAGGUCAUUCUUUUUUAAGCAAACUAAAAAGGAAAGUAGGUCAUUCUUUUUGAAACAGAGGGAGUACAUAAAUUACUGUGAAUCAGCUAUGGGUAUGUGGAGUUUAAUACUACCAAUAAACAUGCAUAGGCAAUUCGAAGUUAGUACCAUAAACUAAACGUUGCACUGGUUAUUCACAUAUUUUUUCUUAUGCAGUCAACCAAAACAUAGUAUUACUGAUACAGAAUUUUCCAUCAAUGAAUCAGAGUUUAGAUGGUGUGAUUCAGGAAAAAAAUGGAAGAAGUAGGGGGAAGAAAUAAGAAAAAAAACAUAAAUUACAGACAAGAGAUGAACACCUCUGAUUUGUGCCCACACUCACUUUGAAACUACGCAAAGAGAACUGCUGCACUUUCGGAACUAAAGCCACAAUAUGAAGGUGUUGCAAUGGACACUAAUUCUUCUUGUUCCCAGAGAAGGAGAACCUGAAGCACCAGAUGAAUGGGCCUACUUGUGAUUGGUCAAACAUUAAGGCAAUCCAACUGAAACAGUCCACUUACUAAAUUGGGUCUAAACCUGUGUAUAUUAAUAUGAGAUUGUUCAUCUCUUUUCUUGAAAGGAGAUGAUAAGAAUAUCUCCCUCAGAAGUGAAUGAAAUACAAAUCCAAAUAAAAUAAAAUAGGAAUCAAUAAUAAAUGAAUGUGUGCUUAAAACACGUGGAAGAAUUCCUCUUCUGUCUAUCUUUGUGGUUGCUUGGAAAACAAGGAUAGGUCUCUCACAUGUAAUUCUUUUUUUUCCUUCUUUCUAACUUUAAGACAAAAGAAAUACAAAUGAUGUUUUUGCUUACUAAUCAGACCACAAAGAUAUACAAAUUCUGCUAAGAAGCAACACCUAAUCCAUAACAAUUUGCAUAUGCCCCGAGUAUGGUCUUAGCAAUUUGCUUGUAAUGAAGAUCCCGAGGAAAGAUCAUCUAAUUUGUUACAUUUGUUGGUGUGUAAUAUUUUUAGUGCAAAUGCUAAGCGAAGGUUACAUAAUAGAUGAUAACGUAAAUAGUAAUUCUAAAUACACUCGAAUAACAUUAAAUCAUUAAGCUUAAAACUACUUCCUAGAGUGCACAAAUUUAAACUUUUUUCCCUCAUCGCACAAUCUGGUUAUAUAACUUCAAUACUAAUGUGCUGAAUUUCAAGUAAAUACACAAUAAUCUCAACCAUCUUGCCGUGUUGUUAAAGGCUUGUUUGAAGCACGUUUAACUCCAAAAUCUAGGCGAAGUCCAAAUUGUGCGCUUCGCUUAUGUGGUGCAUUAGUACAAGCACGAAGAUAUUAGGGGGUCGUAUGGUAGGAUGUAUUAGAGCAAAUAAUACAUAUGGUAUUAUUUAAUCCUUUGUUUGGUAAGAUUAUCAGCCAAUGACAUGUAUUAGUUAUACGCCCUAUUCAGUAUAAUAGGGUGUAUAACUAAUACAUGGCAAACCAUGGAAUUAGCGAUACAAGAGUUAUUAAUGAAGGAUGAGAAUGAUUAAAGAUAGAACUGCCCUUAAUACAUCAAACCAACCAGUGGAUAAAAAAUAAUCCCAGCAUAACUAAUCCCCGCAUUACUUUAAUAUUUUUGUGCAGAGAGUAACUAUGGAAGUCAUUCUAUCCUCCCCAGACCCCGCUUGUAGGAUUCUAGAAAUGUUGCUAUUGUAGUACUACGAAAGUCAUAAAUGGGGAAAGUGUUUAAAAUUGAAAAACAGGAAUUUAUGAAUCGGGUGGAUUUUUUUGAACAUUUUCUAAUUUUUUAAAAUAUGUUGGAACACUUGAAUACUUGAACAAGAUUGUGAAAAAAAUAAAUUCAAGGCUAAUAGCCUCUUAUUUUAUUAAUAAUAGAAAAUUGAUUUUUAGUAUUCAAAAGUGCCACUUUGUUUUGUAGUUCAAAAUUUAAUCCCAGCAUUACUAAUACAUCUUAUUCAGUACUAUACACUCAACCAAACGACCCCUAAGACACAUGCCUCAUCACUAUGACCUCAAAUCUUUAAGAGAAAAAUACUAGACCUAUAGACCAUUGUAAACAACACAUUGGGAAUGAAAUGAAUAGCUGAAAAUGAAAUGGGAUUAUCUCAACCUCAAUAUCAACCUAAUCAGGUAAAGCCUGCCCAACACCAUAAAACAAGACUAUAGGUAAUCCCUCAACCAUGUGGAUUGUGGAACUCUAAUCUCCACUUCCUCUGCACACCCAGGGCUAGAUAGUCGGAGCACGGACAGAGUAAUAUGGAGAACCAACAUUGGGUAACCAAAGAAAAGAGAUAGGCUUGGCACUGAUAACAUUUCAAUAAAUGGACCUAAGCUUAAACUCCACUCCAAAAACUAUCUCAAAGUGAGGAUCGCCCAACACCAUAUAAAAUGGUUAAGGACACUCUUAAAUUAUGAUAAGGAAUAAGAAGUUAAAAGAAUUAAAAAUUACUCACAACAAAACUUUAACUUGCAUCAUUACAUCCAAGUCAAAAUUUAAAAUUGUUUUUUUAAUUCUACUGGCAUAAUGCUUAUUCCUAUUCUUAAUUCUAGUUUUCUUCAAUUCUUUUGUCCAAACUGUCGUUUAUGUUUAUAGUUGAUUUUCAUAUCUAAACAUACACGCUCUUCAUAACCAUUUCCCUUCUCUAAAGCCCGCCAUUUUAAUUGGUUCUAUGCUUUAUCGUCCACCAGACCUUGGCAUUUAUUCAAAUUUUUGCCUUUGACAACUCUGCCAUCCAGUUCACUCAGCCUACAUUGCCAAGUAAUACUCAUACUUGCAAUAUUAGUCAUUGCAAGAUAUGAUUGAUUUGUCCCAUACUUAAUAUCUGAUAGAUAACUUGAUUUAUGAACAGAGACUGUAUUACUAAUUAAAUAAUAGCCUCAACAUACUGAAAGCAGUUGACUGUAUACAUGCCUUUCAUCCACCUUGUUUAUCUCACAGAAGGAACAUGCUUGGGCUUUCUGAUAGCUAUUCUAUAAAGCUUAGAAUGUUGUUCUUAAUAGAAAAGCGGGAAUAUAUGAACCAAGAAAUUUGCAAAUGGUUGAAGGUAAACAUGAGAAAUUGAUAAUCUCAGCACUGAUACCAGGGACACAUCAUCAAACGCUGAAGAAAGAACUAUAUUCACAAGCAAAAUACCUUACUAUAACGUGCAUGGGCGACUGAAAAAUGAGUUUGAUCUUUGAUGACAGGAAAUGAGGGAUCAGCAGAUCCGUCUUUGCUCUGAAAUAUGACAACAAAAAUACACAUUGGUCUAAGAAAAGUAGAAAAGAUGAGGAUCAUUGAAAAAGACCUGGAAAUUGGUACACUCCCAAUUAGUUUCAACACUUGCCUUAUCAUAGACGUAAAAAUUUCCAUCCGCAUGAGCAACAACAAAAGCCCCAUCACUGUUAGGCACCCAAGUGAUACUAGUACAUCGACUGUUGAAAGGCAAAGUAAUCUAUUAAAUCUGCUCCAUCAUUAUAGGCACCCAUCAAAAUUGAAAUACUAGUACAUUGUCGGUCAAAAACAAAAGAAAAUGUUAAAUCUGAAAGAGUAAAGAUUAUCUUCGGUAUAAAACAAGUAACUUGUCUUUUCAAAUAGGCAAAAUACAUAGAUCGACAUUUAAAGUUGUCACCAAAGAUCAGAUAGACACUUCAACCAUCCUUGUAACCAGAUAGGCACCUCUUGUUGGCAUAAGUGUACCUCGUGAACACCCAAGGUACGAUAGAAGUUAGAACUUACAUGUGAGUUACAAUGACGGAUAAUGUGGCAGUUGACAAAUCAAAGGACGACACGUGAAAUUUUAAGAAAAAAAGAAAAAAUGCAUCUAAUUUAAAAAGAAAAGAAUUAGAACUCCCACCCCUACCCACACACCCCUUCUUCUUCAUCCAAGAGUAUCACCAGCUUUCUCACGCUCUUUUCUUCUUCUUCAUCCAUAAAUUCCACCAAACACCUCUCCCAAUCUUCUUCACCAUCAACCACCACAUGGAUCUCCCAAACCCAAAUUUUACAUGUGUCGACGAAAAUUUACCACCACAAUGCCACCCACCCACCUCAGCAGUCUCUUCCUUCUUAUAAUUCUCAAUCCUCUUUGAAUCUUGAAAGUUCGCAAAAUCCAGUUUGAAAUGUGUUGUGCCUAUUGUGGUAGAAAAAAUCGGAGAUGGGUAUCAAAUAUUUUUUAGUUGAGGUCAUAAAAGAAAAUCAAAUAUAGGUGGUGGGGGAGGAGGUGGUGUUGGAAUUGAAAAUUUUCUUUUAAAUUGCCUGAUUUUGGUUAAGCUUUAAACAAAUUGUUGAAAAUUGAAUAUGGAGGUAGUCGUGCAGUGGAAGGUGAUGUCUCCGUCAAUGGCAGUGACAGGUGGUUGCCAAUAUUUUACCUUUUUUGUGUGUGGUUCUGUGGUCUUCGAUGGGUGAAGCUUUAUGGGUCCAAGAGGUGGUUGAGGCGCAGCUCUAGGGUUUAUGUGAAUGGAGCUAUGGAGGAGAAAAAUGAUUUCUUGGUGGUUCUCGGAUGACCAAGUGUUUAUGGAGUUAAUGGUGUUAAAAUAAUGUGAAGAAUGUACAGAGAGUUUGUUUCUGUAUUGUCUGGCAACUGAUGGGUUUUGUUGAAAGAGGGCUUUGUAGUGGUGGAUAAUGGAUUGGAGGCUAAAGGUGAUUAUGGGAGAUAAAAGUUAGUGGGUGGUGGUGACGGCAAUGGUACAGGUGUGAAGAGAUAGAAAAUGUUGAUGGAAAUUAAGGGUAAAUAAGGAAUUUCCAUGUUUUUAACAGUUGGAGAUAAAUUAUAAUAUAUCCAAAACGCUAAAAAGCAAUUGUAGACUUAUGCAAAUGAGAGGAAUCUAUUUGGUCACAAGGAUAGUUAAGGUAUCUAUGUUGAGAUUGACAGCUUUAAGUAGCAACUUAUGUAUUUCACCUUUAAAAUAUUCCAUGACGCAGGAAGCAAUAUGAAUAUUUAGGAGGUGGGUGGGAGGAAGGUAAGGGAAAGAUACUGUUCAUGGAGCUAAUAUGACGACUCUAAUUGUAUUAAGGUUGGGUGGGGAGCUUCAAGUUGUCUACCUUGAUGAGAUUUCUAAAAACUGAAAAUUCUAAAACAGUCAUCUUUUUAUCCUCAUAUCCCCAACUAGUUUGGAGUGAGAUGUAGUUGAUUGAAUGAUUGAUUUUGUUCUCAUACUACAAAGACUAUCCUAAUUCUCUUUCUUUUCCCUUGGUACACAAACUGGAAGGGGGUGCAGCAUAGGGGUCAAAUCUUGAAGCAUCACUACAAGAACUUUGAAUUAUGAUUGCAUUACAUUUAUAAGACCGCAGAAUGUGCUUCUAAGGUUACUGACUAUUAUUCCUACAACAACAUGCCCAGAGAAUCCCACAAGUAGGGUCUGGGGAAGGUAGAAUGUAGACAGACCUUACCCCUACCUCAUGGAGGUAGAGAGGCUGUUUCUAGAGGACUCUCGGCUCGAGUACAGCAAAUCAAAGUAGGUACGAAAAGGGAAAACGACCGUGAAGAAAACAUAGCAACUAAAUAAGGAAACAGUAACAACAAAAGAAUUGUGCAAUAAUCAGAACAACAAAAGAAUUGUGCAAUAAUCAGAACACCAAAACAGAUGAUGAUAGAAACCAAAAGCAAGACACUACAAGAAUAAGGCUAAUACUACGACAAACUCCACCAAACCUAAACUCAUUGAGAACCAAGACAACACUCCACAACCUACUAAUCUUUUAUUGUAAUUCCCGACCUCCACACCUUUUUAUAUAAAGUCAUGUCCUCGAUAAGUUAAAGUUGUGUUAUGUCCUAUCUAAUCACACCUCCCCAAUAAUCUCGGCCUACCUCUACCUCUCCUCAUACCCACAAUUUUAUAUAAGUCACUCAUUAGGUGCUUAUUAUAAUUGUUGGAAUAUAAUCUAGAGAAUGCAUUGCUUUUUGGAAUGCAUUUUAAGGUCCCCAUUAAUGAUUAUAGUUCUCUGAAGAACUCUAUGUCCUAUUUCAGAAAACUUGAUGUCAAGUUUCAUAAAUAAUGUGUUUAGAAGUAAUAGUCAGGAAUGGAUGGACGCUCUUAUUUGCCUUGGUGAUGAAUGAAUUGACGUGGUAUAUGUCAUGGUGUAUGUUAUUUGCAGAUGACAUAAUAUUGAUUGAUGAGGCACGUAGCAGAGUUAAUGUUAGGUUCUAGGUGUGGAGAUAAACUGUAGAAUCUAAAAGGUUCUAAGACCAAAACGAAAUAUUUGGAUUGCAAAUUCAGUGAUGCAAUGCAGGAGGAAAUGAGGUUUGACACACAGGCUAUCCCCCAAGAGAGAUAGUUUCAAGUAUCUUGGGUCUUUAAUCCAGGCUAGUGGGGACAUCGACGAUCAUGUUUCACUCAUAGUGGUACGGUGCGGAUGAAGUAGAGGCUUGCCUCCAAAGUCUUAUGUGACAAAAAGGCACCACCUUAAUUUAAAGGUAAGUUCUAUGGAGUUAAUGGUGUGAAAAUCAUGUGAAUUUUUGUUUUGUUGAAGGAGGGCUUUAGAGUGGUGGAUGAUGGAUUGGAGGCUAAAGGUGGUUAUGGGAGAUACAAGUUAGUGGGUGGUGGUGACGGCAAUGGUACAGGUAAGAAGAGAUAGAAAAUGUUGAUGGAAAUUAAGGGUAAAUAAGGAAUUUCCAUGUUUUUAACCGUUGGAGAUAAAUUAUACUCCCUCCGUUUCAAAAAGAGUGGCCUAGUUUGACUUGGCACGAAGUUUAAGAAAUAAAGAAGACUUUUUGAAUCAUGUGGUCCUAAAUUAAAGUUAUGUCAAAUGUACAAAAUUACCCUUUAAUCUUGUGGCCUUAAACAUGUCAUGUGGAAAGCUGAAAUUAAAAUUUUACCAAAAAAGGAAAGAGGUCAUUCUUUUUUAAACAAACUAAAAAGGAAAGUAGGUCAUUCUUUUUGAAACAGAGGGAGUAAUACUACAAAGACUCCUAAUUCUCUUUCUUUUCCCUUGGCACACAAACUGGAAGGGAGUGCAGCAUAGGGGUUAAAAUUCUUGAAGCAUCACUACAAGAACUUUGAAUUAUGAUUGCAUUACAUUUAUAAAACCACAGAAUGUGCUUCUAAGGUUACUGACUAUUACUUCUAUAACAACAUACCUAGAUAAUCCCACAAGUAGGGUCUGGGAAGGUAGAAUGUAGGCAGACCUUACCCCUACCUCAUGGAGGUAGAGAGAGGCUGUUUUUAGAGGACUUUCGGCUCGAGUACAGCAAAUCAAAGUAGGUACAAAAAGGGAAAACGAUAGUGAAGAAAACAUAGCAACUAAAUAAGGAAACAGUAACAACAAAAGAAUAGUGCAAUAAUCAGAACACCAUAAAAAAUAGAUGAUGUUAGAAACCAAAAGCAAGACCCUACAAGAAUAAGGCUAAUACUACGACAGACUCCACCAAACCUAAACCCGUCGAGAACCAAGACAACAUUCCACAACCUACUAAUAUUUUAUUGUAAUUCUCGACCUCCACACCUUCCUAUAUAAAGUCAUGUCCUCGAUAAGCUGAAGUUGUGUUAUGUCAUAUCUAAUCACAUCUCCCCAAUAUUUUUUCAGCCUACCUCUACCUCUCCUCAUACCCACUAUAUUCAAUCUUUCGCAGCUCCUGCAAGGAGCUAUCUGCAUAUCUCUUUUUCACAUGCCCAAACCAUCUCAGCCUCGCUUUACUCAUCUUGUCGACAACAAAGGUCACUCCUACCUUGGCUCGAAUAUACUCAUUCUUAAUCUUAUCGCUCCUAUGCUCAUAUAUCCA